CACUAUAGUACACGUCUUGUUGAAGUGAAGUCAUCUAUGUUUACAGUGCCCUAGAUGCAAAGCUGUGUUUCACAAGCAAUGCAAAAUUGAACGCCAAUGCCCAAGAUGUUUACGACGACGCUCUCGCCGUCAAAUUCCCGAAGAUUCAACGACUGAGCGCGAACAGUCCAAUGCUGAUCUAAAUUCCCUGUUUUGAAAAGGUUAGUCACGUUUAUAUACUUUUGUUGAAAUCGCGACGUACAGUACUCCGCGCAUCCGCGAUACUGUUCGUGUACUGUUCAAAUUUUGUGCGACUUGAAACGGAAUUCGAACAAAAUUAGAAAAUCGCGGUGAUUGAUUGAAAGUGCCCUCUAAAUAGAUAAGUUAAAAAUCAGAUGGCUUAAAGACAGAGGCUUAAAGAUAUACUUUGUUUAAUUAAAAAAAUUCUGACUAUAUGUUUAACAAUUCUCUGUAUAACAUCGCACUAUUUUGUUGAAAAAUUAUCAAUAAAUUGGGAUUGGGGCUAAGAGUUUUAAAUAAUCAUAAUUAUAGCUUCUUAUUCAAAAAAUUAGAUUGAAAUUACUCAUACAUAUUAAGAAAAAACUAGAAUAAAAACAUACAUAUGUAACUAUGUAUAAUAUUAGUUUAAGUUACUAUAACAUUCUUGUACUCCUGAUCAUUUCAAAUUCCUAGCUCUAUUAGUUUUGAAAUUUGGUAACUAGAAUUUCGUUUGGAAGUCUGGGAUCUAGUGUUGUUAAGUAUUGACAUGAUGGUAUCACAUUGUUCAAGAUUGCAUUCUUGUUGGUGUUCAAGGCUCUUCAUGAAUCAAGACUCAGCCGCGCAGUACAUAAUAGAUUUGAUGACUGUCAAACCCGAGGUUGGAAUGUUCUCCCAUGAUGUACGAAA